rnacentral:lncRNA from 1 species
ACUUACGGACUAUAGGAGAAAGAGUUCGUCCUCAGUUCUGAAUUUAAUCACCUACUUGUCUGCCUUGAUGCAACACGGCUCAAAAUCAUAGCAGAAGCACUUUGGGGAGGGGAGCCCGGGAGCCCAUGCUGAACAUGAUACGUACGGGCUCCAGGUUUUUAAGGUAGCCAGUCGGUUUUCGUCCUCUUUGGGGCUUGCAACAUACUCAUGUGGGAAAUAUGACGACUAUCACUUGCCCAUUUUACACACGUUUGAAAAAUUAAGCCCAGGAAAAUUUUAAAAAUUAAUGCU